rnacentral:rRNA from 1 species
AACGAACGCUGGCGGCAUGCCUAACACAUGCAAGUCGAACGAAGCCUUCGGGCUUAGUGGCGCACGGGUGCGUAACGCGUGGGAAUCUGCCCUUAGGUACGGAAUAACUCAGGGAAACUUGUGCUAAUACCGUAUGAUGUCUUCGGACCAAAGAUUUAUCGCCUAGGGAUGAGCCCGCGUCGGAUUAGCUAGAUGGUGGGGUAAAGGCCUACCAAGGCGACGAUCCGUAGCUGGUCUGAGAGGAUGAUCAGCCACACUGGGACUGAGACACGGCCCAGACUCCUACGGGAGGCAGCAGUGGGGAAUAUUGGACAAUGGGCGAAAGCCUGAUCCAGCAAUGCCGCGUGAGUGAAGAAGGCCUUCGGGUUGUAAAGCUCUUUUACCCGGGAAGAUAAUGACUGUACCGGGAGAAUAAGCCCCGGCUAACUCCGUGCCAGCCGCCGCGGUAACAC